GCAGGGGCUGCUGAAGGACACUCCAUGCUUCCACAGGAUCAGGUCCAGAGUAGGGUUGAUGCAAACAGCAUCCUGGAGCCACUGAAAAGUCCCAGAAACCAUGACUUAACCAGUAGUAAUGAGCCCUCCGUCUCCUGGAUUGUGGUCCUGAAUAUUACUGAAAAGAAGCCAGGUUCUUUGGAGAAAUGGAUGAUACCAGAUGUGGGGCAGGAAAUGUACAAGAAAAGAUGAAUCUAGGCAAUAUUAUCGGUGACUGCUAAUAGCACAAGAGGGACAACCAGACAUUGUGUGCUCCGGAUGCAAGUAUACAGCACCACCGAUGAAGUGUUCUUGCAAAGAGUUCCAGCCUGAAUCUGAUCAAGCUUCUAGAUCUAAAUACCAGUUGUUGGGGACAAGAUGAUAUUGGGGUGAGGCAAUUUGUAAAAUGAAGACUGUGGAAAACUGUUU